ACGGCUCAGUAACACGUGGCUAACCUGCCCUCGGGACGAGAACACCCCCGGGAAACUGGGGCUAAUUCUCGAUAGGCGAAGAACUCUGGAAUGAGUCUUUACCCAAAAGACGCUUAGAUCAUGCUUCUAGACGUCGCCCAAGGAUGGGGCCGCGGCCGAUCAGGUUGUUGGUGAGGUAAUGGCUCACCAAGCCUUUAACCGGUGCGGGCCGUGGGAGCGGGAGCCCGGAGAUGGGCACUGAGACAAGGGCCCAGGCCCUACGGGGCGCAGCAGUCGCGAAAACUUUGCAAUAAGCGAAAGCUUGACAGGGCUAUCCCGAGUGCCAUCCGCUGAGGAAGGCUUUUACCCAGUCUAGUAAGCUGGGGGAAUAAGGAGAGGGCAAGUCUGGUGUCAGCCGCCGCGGUAAUACCAGCUCUCCGAGUGGUGUGGAUGUUUAUUGGGCCUAAAGCAUCCGUAGCUGGCUGAGUUAGUCCCCUGUUAAAUCCACUGAAUCAAUCGUUGGAUUGCGGGGGAUACUGCUCGGCUAGGGGACGGGAGAGGCAGACGGUAUUUCCGGGGUAGGGGUGAAAUCCUAUAAUCCCGGGAAGACCACCAGUGGCGAAGGCGGCUUGCCAGAACGCGCUCGACGGUGAGGGAUGAAAGCUGGGGGAGCAAACCGGAUUAGAUACCCGGGUAGUCCCAGCUGUAAACGAUGCAGACUCGGUGAUGAACAGGCUUCGUGCCUGUUCAGUGCCGCAGGGAAGCCGUUAAGUCUGCCGCCUGGGGAGUACGGUCGCAAGAUUGAAACUUAAAGGAAUUGGCGGGGGAGCAC
rnacentral:rRNA from 1 species